ensembl:lncRNA
GCUCUACUAGAGUGGUUGUCCCUCAUCCUCUAUUAUGUUGCUAUACUAGACUGGUUCUCCCACCUCCUCCUCUCUAAUGUAGCUGUACUAGACUGGUUAUCUCUCCUCCUCCUCUCUAAUGUAGCUGUACUGGAUCGGUUCUCCCUCCUCCUCUCUAAUGUGUCUAUAAUAGACUGGUUCUCGCUCGUCCUCCUCUUUAAUGUAGAUGUACUAUACAGGUUCUCCCUCCUCCUCUCUAAUGUAGCUAUACUAGACUGGUUCUCCCUUCUCCUCCUCUCUAAUGUAGCUGUACUAGACUGGUUCUCACUCCUUCUCCUCUCUAAUCUGUACUAUACAGGUUCUCCCUCCUCCUCUCUAAUAUAUCUAUACUAGACUGGUUUUCCCUCCUCCUCCUCUCUAAUGUAGCUAUACUAGACUGGUUUUCCCUCCUCCUCUCUAAUGUAUCUAUCAUAGACUGGUUCUCCCUCCUCCUCCUCUUUAAUGUAGCUGUACUAGACUGGUUCUCCUUCCUCCUCCUCCUCUCUAAUGUAGCUAUACUAGACUGGUUCUCCCUCUUCCUCCUC